rnacentral:rRNA from 1 species
GAUAGGUCUGUAUGCUCCGAAUCUCUUGGGAUACACGCGCGCAACAAUGGUAGGGACAAUGGGAUACGACUCCGAAAGGAGAAGUUAAUCCUCUAAACCCUAUCUAAGUCCGGAUUGAGGAUUGUAACUCAUCCUCAUGACGCUGGAAUCUCUAGUAAUCGGACGUUAUCAUCGUCCGGUGAAUAUGUCCCUGCUCCUUGCACACACCGCCCGUCAAACCAACCGAGCAGGGUUUAGGUGAGUAUUGGGCCUUUACCUAAUCCGAACCUAAGCUCAGUGAGGUGGGUUAAGUCGUCACAAGGUAGCCGUAGGGGAACCUGCGGCUGGAUCACCUCCUUU